rnacentral:rRNA from 1 species
CCUACGGGCGGCAGCAGUGGGGAAUAUUGCACAAUGGGGGAAACCCUGAUGCAGCGACGCCGCGUGAGUGAAGAAGUAUUUCGUUAUGUAAAGCUCUGUCAGCAGGGAAGAAAAUGACGGUACCUGACCAAGAAGCCCCGGCUAACUACGUGCCAGCAGCCGCGGUAAUACGUAGGGGGCAAGCGUUAUCCGGAUUUACUGGGUGUAAAGGGAGCGUAGACGGCGGGGCAAGUCUGGAGUGAAAUGCCGGGGCUCAACCUCGGGACUGCUCUGGAAACUGCCAGACUAGAGUGCAGGAGAGGUAAGUGGAAUUCCUAGUGUAGCGGUGAAAUGCGUAGAUAUUAGGAGGAACACCAGUGGCGAAGGCGGCUUACUGGACUGUAACUGACGUUGAGGCUCGAAAGCGUGGGGAGCAAACAGGAUUAGAUACCCCAGUAGUC